CUUCUGGUACUACUAUAAUGUUCUUUUGUUUUCUUAACCAAAUACUUUCUCACACGCACUAGAUUUGCAGGUGCGUGAGAACACUAACAUACUGAACUUUCCGACCACAACAUUUAGAAUUAUUAAUAGACUCUAGGUUAGCAGACAUGGAUUUUAUUCACAUAAUAUAUACAUGAAGUAUAAUUCACAAAAGAUAUUGGCGACUUCAGCCAUCACAAAAUACAUCCCAGGAAAUGUGUCCUGAAUACUAGUCAAUUAUAAUAACUUCAAUACUUGUACAUUGCUCUACUGUAAAAGGUAUCCAUAACACUCCUCUCUCUACAAGAGUCCAAGAUCAACUGAGGUGUCCACAUCGUGGUCAGUUACUUGACCAAGCAAAAUCUAGUGCUAACUGCACGGAAUAGUUCAGUGACUACUUGUCACCAAAUAUUACAGGGGUUCUAAAACUGAUAUAUGACACAGUGCAAGAGUUCAUACGGCGGUACGGGUGUUAACGAAGAAAUAUUUAUAUAUUGAACAGAAUGUGUUACGUGCUGCCAAUUGUACAGUAUUGGCUGUGAUUUAUUGGACAUUAAAGUAUUACGUUAUUUGGAAGCCCAGAGUUAUCAAGUUCUUUAAGUUGGUGGUGUCGUGUGCAACAGAUUGCAGAGAGCCUGAAUUGUGAGAAGCGUUACUGUAUUUAUCGAUUAACUCUUUAAAGAAUAUGAGAAUGAAAUUCUAUCAAAGCCAAAUGACAGAGAAGAAUGGAGAAAGAAGGUUGACCGAUCUUGUGUGGUACCCCAAUGGUCCAGCAGAUAAAGGGAUAGGAUAUAUUCAGUAUAAACACCAGCAAAGCCAGAGAUAAAGCAGUAACAAAGAAGUAUAGCCAAGCCAAGGAAUGUUGUAUGAAUUUCUGAAAGUGCUAGAGUUUUGCCUUUAAGGGCAGCAAUACUAGAGAGGA